GCAAAAUCGAAGUUGUAGUGAAGGAGAGGAAAAUGUCAUCAUCAAAUUCUCCAUGUGCGGCAUGCAAGUUUCUCAGGCGAAAGUGCACGCAGGAGUGUGUGUUUGCGCCAUAUUUUCCGCCGGAUAACCCCCAGAAAUUUACCAAUGUCCAUAAAGUUUUUGGCGCCAGUAAUGUUGCAAAGCUCCUCAACGAACUCAACGCCAGCCAGCGCGAGGAUGCCGUAAAUUCCUUAGCCUACGAGGCGGAGUAUCGCCUUCGCGAUCCGGUUUAUGGCUGUGUUGGUCUUAUUUCCAUUCUGCAACAUAAGCUCAAGCAAGUGCAGCUCGAUUUGGAUAAUGCGAAAAAAGAAUUGGCUCAUUAUAUUGGGCCUUCUGCGAUGUUACCAAUAAUUAACCACCCAGGAUUCAUGCAUCAGCAUCCGAACUUUGGGGCCUCGGCGUUUCAGGUGAUGCCGUAUAAUAUGCAGUCAAUGAUGGGGGUGCCGGCAGGACUGCCACAUGGUGCGCUGAUGAUUGGGGACUCUCAGCAGCAGCCACCGACACAAGAGCAACAGAUUCUUGAGGCACAGCAGUUAGCGGUGGUGGCGGCCGCCAGGGAGCAGGAGAUGUUUAGGAAUUAUGAACUGCAGCAACACCAGCAGCAGAAUGGUUUAGUGCGAUUUAACAGUGGUUUUGAUACUACAAGAGGGUCUGUCACCGCCACAGGAUAUAAUAAAAUGAUUCCGGCCACUGCUGCAGCCGACAUGCCGCCUGCCCUGGCCUUGGGUUCUUACGAAGGCAACCCUUACGGCCAUCACAUUCAGCAGCAGGCGGAGGAGCAUUCACAUUCUCAUCACCCUCACCAGCUCGAGCUUUUGCCACACGAGCUUUUACUCCAGCAACAGAAUGCUACAAUCCAUCAUGAGACACAGCAACUUCAAACAUCACUGCCACCGAGAGCCAGAAGCGACGAGGGCAGGAGUAUUGAUUCUUGAUGUUAAUUCAAAAAUCAUCUUCUCCAAAAUCAAAGGCUCAAUGCCCUCUGAGCUUUAUUCUUUCAACAAACUUUUGAUCCUGCAAAUUCAUGGCGUACAAGAGAGAGGAAGGAUAGAGGGGGAGAGAGAGGGUCGCAACCUAGUUAGUUUUCUUUUCUUUUAUUAGCUCUUGGGAUUAAAGGAGACAAUUUUUACUCGAUGGUACAUUUUCGAAUGUAGGAGUAGCGUUGAUUUCAACAAUAGUGUUCUCUUUCUGUUUACAUUCAGCUGGUGCAGGUUAAUACUUCCUUACACCGGCUGGCCGACAUAUUACGCAUUUUUGCCUUAUAAUAUUCUAACUUGCAUGUGA